rnacentral:rRNA from 1 species
CAAUAUAGGUGAUGGCGACCGGCGCACGGGUGAGUAACACGUAUCCAACCUGCCGAUAACUCGGGGAUAGCCUUUCGAAAGAAAGAUUAAUACCCGAUGGUAUAAUAAAACCGCAUGGUUUAAUUAUUAAAGAAUUUCGGUUAUCGAUGGGGAUGCGUUCCAUUAGGCAGUUGGUGAGGUAACGGCUCACCAAACCUUCGAUGGAUAGGGGUUCUGAGAGGAAGGUCCCCCACAUUGGAACUGAGACACGGUCCAA